AUCGCCGCCAAUACCUUGUAGGAGAAGAAAACACAUGUGCAUCAAAGAAAAUCAAAGGAAACAUUAUAUCAGGCGAGGAUUGCCUUUACUUUGGAAUACUGUUUCCAACCAACCAAAAGGUUUUCUUUUGUUUUGGGUCAUUACGGGCCCCUAACAAAGAGAAAAGUGAGGCUCAAAGGUAGAAGUUUGGCUUUAUUUGUCUCAUACUUGGUGUCCUCUCAAACCGUUUUAAGGUGAAAACAGCUCCCAGGAAAGCAGCGACAACAAGCCAACCACGCUAACCUACAGGAAGCCGAAAACAGCUCCACAGCAGCUACACAGUCCAAUGUUGUUAGAAAUAAAGAUAAACUGGACUGAG